rnacentral:misc_RNA from 1 species
AACUCAUCCAGUUCGAAGAACUGUAGGCAC